GGUUAGCUCAUCCCGAUCUUCGAUCGGGAGGUUUAGAGCACUACCUUGACAGGGUAGGGGUCACAGGUUCGAAUCCUGUAAUACCCA
rnacentral:tRNA from 1 species